ACCGCGGGUGCUCGGGGCCCCGACUCGUACCCAGGUGCCACCUGGCCCUCACCUCCCGCCGUAGCUGGCUGUGACGCCCGCCAUGGGCACACUGGGGCAGUGCAGGGAGAAGACGAGGAUGCCCAGCAGGCUGACAACGGUGCAGAACAGGCAGAACUUGAUGACCGCGGAGCCCCGGAGCCUGAGCUUGUUCACAAAGAAGCCGCCCAGGAAGGUGCCGCCACCGCCCGCUGGCACCACCAGCCUCUCACCGGAGCAGAGUGUCGGCCUCACAUCACCCCCACCGGCAGGAAGGUGGCUCUUUCCUCUCGGCCACACCUAGAGCCUGGUUCCGAUAAAUGCAACUCUGAACGCCUGGAACAUUCAAAUGCUCUUGUUUGAGGACGUGGCCAAAUGUAAAUGGAUUCUGAAGAAUUAGGAACAGACGAUGCAGCCCUAGUUAGCCUCUGAGCCCCAACAGGCCCACAGGUGCCUUGCAGAGCUGAUGUUGGCGACAGAAACUCCACUCCAGCCUCACACUCUGCCUGCUUGGAGGUGUUCGCUGGCUCGCUCAGACUGACCUCAGCAGCCAUGAACAUAGGUUUUUUCUGUUCCCUUCCCUGAUUAAAAUGGGAGAGCCCAAUUCUUUCAAAAUUUCCUGA
rnacentral:antisense_RNA from 1 species